AAGUCACUCUGACAACAUAUAUACUAAAACUGGAAUGACACAGAGAAAAUUAGCAUAGCUCUUGCACAAAGAUGACAUGCAAAUUUGUGAAGCAUUCCUUCCUUCC